ensembl:snRNA U6 U6 spliceosomal RNA
GUACUCACUUCAGUAGGACAUAUACUAAAAUUGGACUGAUACAGAGAAGAUUAGCAUGGCCCUUGAACAAGGUGGGUCCUAAAUUGUAGUGAACACCCUGGAUGUU